CAAACGACUCUCGGCAACGGAUAUCUCGGYUCUUGCAUCGAUGAAGAACGUAGCGAAAUGCGAUACUUGGKGUGAAUUGCAGAAUCCCGUGAACCAUCGAGUUUUUGAACGCAAGUUGCGCCCGAUGCCKYUAGGCUGAGGGCACGUCUGCCUGGGCGUSACGC
rnacentral:rRNA from 1 species